GGCUUUUUUCGCGGCGGAGUUCGACCGCCCACAGAAGUGAUCGUCGCCUACAUCGACGAACAAAAAGACACGUGGGGGAUCGAACCGAUCUGCCGAGUUCUCACCAAAGAGCUCGAUGUGAAGAUCGCCCCG
rfam:Brachybacterium muris TCD-AY4 contig_3, whole genome shotgun sequence.